rnacentral:rRNA from 1 species
UACGAAGGGGGCUAGCGUUGUUCGGAUUUACUGGGCGUAAAGCGCGCGCAGGCGGCUUUGCAAGUCAGGGGUGAAAUCCCAGAGCUCAACUCUGGAAUUGCCUUUGAGACUGUGAGGCUUCGAGUACGGGAGAGGUGAGUGGAAUUCCCAGUGUAGAGGUGAAAUUCGUAGAUAUUGGGAAGAACACCGGUGGCGAAGGCGGCUGACUGGAUCGCAACUGACGCUGAGGAACGAAAGCUAGGGGAGCAAACAGG